AUGAAUGCUAGUAGUCUGUUUUACACAUGCAAGUUAAAUAUUUUAUAAUAUAGCGAACGGGUGAGUAAUACAUAAAAAUAUACCUUUUACUUUUGUAAAAAACAAAAUUAAAAAAAUUUUUAAUGGUAAAAGAUUAGUUUAUGGAGGAUUAGGUAGUUGGUGGGGUAAAAGCCUACCAAGCCAAAGAUCCUUAGUUGGUUUUAACGAAUGAUCAACCACAUUGGAACUGAGACACGGUCCAAACUUUAGGAGGCAGCAGUGAAGAAUCUUGGACAAUGGGCGAAAGCCUGAUCCAGCAAGACUACGUGAAUGAUGACAGUUAUAUUGAUUGUAAAAUUCAAAAGUUAAAAAAAUAAAGAUUUUUUAAACUAAAAGUUCCGGCUAAUUCCGU
rnacentral:rRNA from 1 species